GGGAAAUCUUACCGGGUCCGGACACACUGAGGAUUGACAGGCGUUUGUGGUUUAGCAUCUGGCUUCGGUUAGCUCUGCUUUUCUACUAUAAAUAUGCUAGUCCUUUCAUGAUUGUGUGAUAGGUGGUGCAUGGCCGUUCUUAGUUCGUGGAGUGAUCUGUCUGCUUAAUUGCGUUUCACAAAGAACUCUUUAACUUUUACCUGUUGCGCGUCACUGCGCUCUCUGAGACGGUGUCUGUGCACGGUAAAGAAAAAGUUCUGAAGGCAACGA
rnacentral:rRNA from 1 species